UUCUUUUUUUUUGACGGACACGCAGGGCAGCCAAAGAGCGCGCAGCAGCGAGGAGGCGCGGGGCCGGAGGGGAGAAGGAGAGCCACGCUGUUCUCGCGGCUGGAGGGAGGAUGGCGCCAGAGCGCGCAGGGCAGGGAUCACCGCGCAGGAGCGGCGCGUCUUCAGUGCGCCUGGAGGAAGCGCUCUGAAACGAGCCCGAGACAUGUCACUCUGAGAUAGAAAAAUAAAAAAUAAAGUUGGUUCCUUUGCUGAUUUGAAACGAAAACUCUGCACGUUUUGAAUGUCAGCAAGCAAAAAAACAAAAAAAAAACAAACAAACAAACAAAAAAAAAACAACAAAUCAACACGUCUAACAAUAACUAAAACAUGACAAAAGAAAUCUUCAUGAAUAUCUAAAGAUGAAUGGUAUUCAGAAGGAAAAUUGUUAUUUUCUCCAGGAAGUCAGACAUGGAUAUUUUCGGUAGAAGCAGUUGCUUGAAAAGUCUCAAACUAAGUGAGUCUCCGUCGUUUAAAGUCAAAAGAAAUGCUGCAUGUAAAAAGUGUUUGGGACGGGAAUAAACAUUCAUAUUUCCCUUGAAUAAAUAUGUUUACCUAUACAGAUUUAGCUGUUACGUUUUUAUUCUUAGGCCUCUUGUUUAAAAAGAUGUGGUAUGUUUUUUUUUCUUUCUUUUUUGAGGGGGUGAUUACAUUAAUUAAACCCAUUUUAAUAUGUGUAUUUCAACUUGAUUCAUUUGGGGGAGAAAACAAAUACAAUCUAAACGUAAUUUUUAAAAAAAAAAAUAAACCGGAUAGCGUUUCUUCCCCCUUUUUUUGUCAAGCAUUUGUCCCUUUUCUAAGUCAGAGCUAUUUUUUUUUUCUGUACGAUCCGACCGCACACGACAGCACAGAAGAUGGAUAUUUAAAUUAGAGGUGAGACAGGGAGUGGAGGUGUUGCAGCCGCCGGUUCUGAUGGAGAAAGCAGCUCCGCUCUGCAGCCCAGAACCCAGAACCGAGGAAGCCAGGAGGAGAAUCUGAGAAAAGCCGAGAGGAAGAAAAAAAAAGACAGAAAGAAAGAAAGAAACAAAGAAAGAAAGAAAGAAAGAACGGUAUCAGUCACUGGUGAGAGAAGAUUUGUUUUGCUCGAAAGGCACGAGAUUAUAGGAAGUCAGAGAGGACCACAGGAGGGAUUGCAGGAGAUGAAUGGAUGAAGACAGAGGAAACGGGCCGGGAUGGCAGGGAAAAGACAGGGAGACAGAGUCGUGUUUAUCAGCCUGGAGGAGGACGAUACUGAGAAGCAUGGAGGCGUAUCAUGAACAAGGUUGCACAGUUUGUGGGUCUCUCGGUCAACAUCCAUUAGGCGAAACGGAGAGAAGCUAUGCGCUGGCGAAACCAGGGCAGCGCAUAUUCCCUUUCCAAAACCCACAGAAACACCAGUCUGGAAUCAAUCUGCUAUCACAGCGCGAGCACACACAUUUUAAUCUUUAACCCCCGGUGAGACCCGAGUCCGGGCUAUUUUUCAUAUCUGUGAGUCAGCGUGUCGUAAUGCUGUGUCAGAUUUGGGGUAUGGCCCUCUGUCAUGUCUCUGAGUUCACCUGCACCUAAAGCUCUUUACCAGAGCACUGGGAAUUAACGGCUGCCAUAAAUAGUGAGCAGAGUGUGUGCGGAGAGCUGCAGAAAAGCACCGGGCAAGGAUAUAUCUGACAGGAAAGGAGCAAAUCUUCUCCCCAUGCUACCUGCUGUAAAAAAAAAGUCAUAUUUCAGGGCUUCACAUCAGAGAGCAGUUAGAUUUUUCUUUUCUUUUUUUUUUUGUUUCUCUAUAGGAGCAGGGAGACAGCAUGCGAGUUGUUUUUAGAAGACUUAGCUUGAUUUUUCAAGCGUUAACUUGAAGAUAGAUUAUUCACCUUUUCUUUUCCAAUCAUGCGUUACAUUUAGAUAUCUAGAGGUGACGAAGACGACUUGCUAAAGUUCAAACUGAGCAAGAAUGAAAGCCUCUGACCUGCUGCCUUCCUGGCAUAUGUUUCUAUUGGCUUGAUGGCAGAGAGUGUCGGCUGCUUGACAGCUACAUAUAGGAAUAGUUACAGCCAGAGCUGGAAAUCAACUUUGACGUCUUCAAAUGUCGUCAAAAAGCGCCACGGCCUGCUCUUUAGGAUGUUCAGUUCUUUGUAUUUGACAAAAUGUAACGUUUAUUGCUUGUUUCAUGAUUGGUUUUUAUGGUAUAAAUCCCUUUGAAAUGCCUUGUUGAUUAAAUGUACUGUACAGAUAAACUUCACUUGACAUUCAUUUACUUAGUAAACCCCCGUCCUACUGGUAAACCUUUCUUAUCGUCUCAUGAUCACAUCUGUACACUUGCUGAAUUGGCUUAUGUGUGCGCGUGUUUUUGUGUGUGUGUGUGUGUUACACAGGAGCUGUACUACAAUGGUCAAUGCGAUAACAUUUGGUGGACCACCUGUCGGGAAGCUCAGUUUGCUCAGUACAAAGUCUCAUCUAACCAAUCACUGUCUGUGUGUGCGAAUGGUUUGCGUGUGUGUGUGUGAGGGCGUGCGCGUGAUAGGGGUUUACCUGAACGGCUGAGGUGGAGAAGUAUUUGAUUACUGAUAAUGUUACAGGGCAAGAACCAUAUGAGGAAGAACAGCAAAACAACCCCAACGGAGACGUUAUAUCAGUAAAAGUUGAUCAAAGAGACAUGCGUGCGCGCUCAUCAUCUGCUGGCAAAUGGGUCCUCAGCUUUCCGACUGUUACGCCACAGAGGAAACUAUAGUUCAAAGAGACAGGCUUACAAAUGUCCAUCUUAACUGCUGUCCAUUAAAAUGUCUCUAAACGGGGCCUAUGACAGGAACACACAUCCCCAUUUCACCUUCACUUAUCAUUAGUCCAGCGCCAAAGGCAAAAGGUCAGCGUUGGAGCAGACAUUAACAAGUUCAACAAACAGCCCAUUGCCUCAUAACUCGCAGCGGAGAGGUGUCUACAUCAUUAGCCCUAACUUGCGGCUAAUUGCAACUUGCAGGGUGAGUCAUGCAUGUGUACCGAGGGUCGCUGAUGAGACGGAGAGAAACAACAAUUCACGUGUUCUGCAUUUCUAUUUCAAAUUCCACGCUUCUUCGACGCCCCAAAGUCCCGGGUCUCCAACUGUUUUAAGACACUCUGAACAUUUCAGUGUGAGAACAUUUACCUCAUUUACUAUUUUAUUUGCCAAAAAAAAGAGAGAUUUCAUGAGAAGACGACUUGAAAUAGUCCCAUUUUAAUUGUGCAUUUAUUUCUGAUUUCUACUGACAAAACUAAAGCAGUAAAUGAGUAGCUAUACAAAUAUGCAAAGAUCCUAUGCAAUGUUGCAAUGUACACGACUGAUUAAGAAUGGAUUACAACUGCAGUACUUCACAAAAAUUAAAUUUAACAAAUGCACAAAAGCCAGUUUUGCACGAGAUCGAUGAUGUCAGAAAGAGGCAAACAAAUCCUGCCGAUCAGCUGGCAGUAAAUAUCUGAGUCACUAUUGUCUGGUUCAUGAGGUUUUUGGUUCCUUACAUGUUUUUUGUGAUGUCCUGGUUCCCUUGUUGAUGCACUCGUUUCUACAGGUCUGCCAUUGGCCAGGCUGGGGUUUGGCUGUGGAAAUUACUCAGCUUUCCCAAAGAUGUGCUUAAUCACUGUCAUGUGGAAGGAAGUGAUUAUUUUUUUAUAUGACUCAAUAGAUUUGCACGUUUCGUUUAACGUUAGUUGGAUUGAAUUUGCAAAAACAUGGUAGCCUUGAGCUGUGAUGUGAAAGGACAUGAAAGAUAAAUAACUUUGUCUAAAUACUCAAUAAAUCAUAGUGAAAUGUCAUUUUUCAUCUUAAUUUUGUGAUUUUAGAACAUAAUGUCUAAUAAAGUCUUGAAACUCA